rnacentral:lncRNA from 1 species
AUGGAAGAUCUUCCAGAACAAGAAAAAAAUAUAAAUGUUGUAGAUGAAUUAGAAAUACAAUUUUAUGAAAUUCAGUUAGAACUAUAUGAAGUUAAAUUUGAGAUAUUAAAAAACAAAGAAAUACUGCUUACUACACAGUUGGACUCUCUUGAAAGACUUAUAAAAGAAAAACAGGAUGAAGUUGUCUAUUACGAUCCAUGUGAAAGUCCAGAGGAACUUAGUCAUUGACUGUGGUGGGGCUGCAGGACGAUAAGAAUUCGGAAGUGAAAGAACUCAGAAGGCAGUGCCAGCAGCUGGAGUCUAUUAAACGGGGCAGGAUCUGUGUCAAAAGAGCUUCUCUCCAGAGUAGAAAGGAUCAGUGCAAAGAAAAUCAUUGGCUCAGAUUGCAACAGGCUGAAGAAAGCAUAAGAUAUUCUCGUCAGCAUCACAGUAUUCAGAUGAAAAGAGACAAGAUAAAAAGGAGCAAAAGAAAAAAGAAUGGGUCAACCAAGAACGUCAAACACUCCAACGAUUGAGAGCAUUUAAAGAUGUAAGUUCUAUAAACAAUCACCUCAUCUACACUUCUGGGGAAAUAAAUGAAGACCGCUCUAAAGAGGAAAGUAUUAAGAACAGGUCAUUCAGAACAUGAAACAUUUAAAAAAUAACAUUAUUUCUGGUAUAUCAAUAAAAAGCAACAACAAAAAUAGAAUAUCAGUGAUUCAAAACCCAUGAUAUAAAAUAACUGCUGUUUUUAACAUCACAACACGCUUGGGUUCCUGCUCUGCACUCUUCACUGAGUAGUCCUUACUGGCACUGGUGGUUUAGAUUGGCAGGGAAAACUGAAAACUGUUCAACUCCCUUGACUUUAGCUGGCAUUUCCUCUCAUUUGUAAUAAACAAUUCUUUAAAAUGUUAUCCAGGCAGCAUUGUGAUAUAAGUGUAGUGAAAGUGCCCAGUUAAAAGUAAAAUGUGUUGUUGUUUUUUUUUGAUAUCUACAACUUUCUUUUUUCUUUUUUUUUAAAGUAUAUACUUAAGAGGAUGAUGUUAUUUUUUUAUGCCCUCUGUUCCAGGCCUACAUUUGUAUUUCCUCCACAAAAUGAUCCUCAGUCUGUAAUUUUUGUUCUAUUUGACUUUAUUAUUAGAGAUAAAUUCCUUUAAUUAAAAAAAAGCUACUAUGAAGGUUGAAAAAAUAAUUUUUUGGUUUUAUUUUUAAUUGACACAUAAUUGUACAUAUUUAUGAGGUAUAGUGUGAUAUUUUGAGGUAUAUAAUAUGGAAUGAUCAAAUCAGGGUAAUUAGCGUAUCUAUCACCUCAAACAUUUAUCUACAGGUAAAUAGGUUUUUUAAAAUAAAGUAAAUAGGGAGUCUGGCACAGUGGCUCAUGCCUAUAAUCCCAGCACUUUGGGAGGCUGAGGCGGGCGGAUUGCUUGAGACCAUGAAUUUGAGACCAGGCUGGGCAACAUGGUGAAACCCCAGCUCUCCUAAAAAUACAAAAAUUAGCUGGACAUGGUGGUGCAUGCCUGUAGUCCCAGCUACUUGGGAGGAAAAAUACCAAUUGUGCACAUAUUUUUGUAAAAUUAUACAUAAACACUUUAUUUUUUAUGUCAUUCUAAAUAAUUUUUUGUAUGUUUCUAUUUCCAAACGUUGUUUGGUAAUAUAUAGAAAUAUGAUUGAUUUUGUUUAUUGAGUUUGCAUAUAACCACAUUACUAAACUCGCAUAUUGAGCAUUUUAAUAGGUUAUUUUGAAUACUUUUACAUAGACUGUUGUCUGAAAAUAGAAACAGGUUUAUUUCUUCCUUUCUGAUGUGGAUGUCACUGAUUUUUUUCCCUACAUUACUGAUCUGGCUAGGACUAUCAGUAUAAAGUUGAAUAUAAGUGGUAAAAGAUCUGACUUCUUGCCUUGGACCCAGUUUUUAAAUCAGUUGGAGAGUCACCAUUAAGUGUAAUUUAGUGGUAGUUUUGUUUGUUUUUUUUUUGUUUGUUUUGUAGAUGCCCUCUAUCAGGAUAAGUUCCCUUUUCUCAUUUUGCUGAGAGUUUUUAUAAAGAAUAGCUAUUGAAUUUUGUCAAAUGCUUUUGCUGCAUCUGCUGAAAUGACACGUUUAUUCUUCAUCUACCUAAUAAUGUUGCAAUUUAUAUCUGUUGAGCUUUGAAUGUUGAACCAGCCUUGCAUUCAUGGUAUAAAUCACUUGUUUGUAAAGUAUUGUUUUUAAAUAUUGCUAGAUUUGAUAUCUUAGUAUUGUAUUUUUAUAUUUGUCUUCAUGUGUUUUUGUUUUCUCAUAAGUGUCUGUACCCCCCUUUUUUUUUCUUUAAAGAGAAAUAAUGAGAGAGAUUGUCUCUCUUGAAGUUCUCAGUGCCUGUGCAUUGCUGCCACUACACAGCUAGUAUCAUGACAGCAGCUUCAGAACCAGAGCUGGCUUCCAGGCAAGGCUGGGUGGGGAAGAAAGAGAAAAACAAAAGAAUUAUUUCUCUAUGCCGAGACCAGCUCGGUCAGGGAGACCCUAACCUAGCGGUGCUAGAGGAAUUAAAGACAUAGACACAGAAAUAUAGAGGUGUGAAGUGGGAAAUCAGGGGUCUCACAGCCUUCAGAGCUCAGCCACAAACAGAGAUUUACCCACGUAUUUAUUAACAGCAAGCCAGUCAUUAGCAUUGUUUCUAUAGAUAUUAAAUUAACUAAAAGUAUCCCUUAUGGGAAACGAAGGGAUGGGCCGAAUUAAAGGAAUAGGUUGGGCUAGUUAACUGCAGCAGGAGCAUGUCCUUAAGGCACAGAUCACUCAUGCUAUUGUUUGUGGUUUAAGAAUGCCUUUAAGCGGUUUUCCACCCCGGGCAGGCCAGGUGUUCUUUGCCCUCAUUCCAGUAAACCCACAACCUUCCAGUAUGGGUGUUAGGGCCAUUAUGAACAUGUUACAGUGCUGCAGAGAUUUUAUUUAUGGCCAGUUUAUGGCCAGAUUUUGGGGGGCCUGCUCCCAACACUCUACAUAUGCUCCAUCUUGCAGAGGCUUCAUUCUUGGUUCUCUAGCUAAAAACAGUAGAAAUUUUGCACACCUGGG